CCUACGGGUGGCUGCAGUCGGGAAUAUUGGUCAAUGGAGGAAACUCUGACCCAGCAAUACCGCGUGAAGGAUGAAUGUUUUCUGAUUUGUAACUUCUUUUUUUAAGGAAGUAAAAAAUGACGGUACUUUAUAAUUAAGUCCAGUUAAUCUAUGUGCCAGCAGCCGCGGGGUUACAUAGGGGGCAAGCGUUGGCCGGAAUGACUGGGUGUACAGGGUGUGUAGGUGGCUUAGUAAGUUAGAUGUGAAAGCUCGACGCUCAACCUCGGAAGUGCCUUUAAAACUGGUUGGCUUGAGUGUGGGAGAGGUAAGUGGAACUCGUGGUGUAGCGGUGGAAUGCGUAGAUAUUAGGAAGAAC
rnacentral:rRNA from 1 species